CUCUGUGACUCCUACGGGAGGCAUCAGUGGGGAAUAUGCACAAUGGGGGAAACCCUGAUGCAGCCAUGCCGCGUGUGUGAAGAAGGCCUUCGGGUUGUAAAGCACUUUCAGUAGGGAGGAAGGUAGUGUAGUUAACACCUGCACUAUUUGACGUUACCUACAGAAGAAGCACCGGCUAACUCCGUGCCAGCAGCCGCGGUAAUACGGAGGGUGCGAGCGUUAAUCGGAAUUACUGGGCGUAAAGCGCAUGCAGGCGGCCUGUUAAGUCAGAUGUGAAAGCCCGGGGCUUAACCUCGGAAUUGCAUUUGAAACUGGCAGGCUAGAGUCUUGUAGAGGGGGUAGAAUUUCAGGUGUAGCGGUGAAAUGCGUAGAGAUCUGAAGGAAUACCAGUGGCGAAGGCGGCCCCCUGGACAAAGACUGACGCUCAGAUGCGAAAGCGUGGGGAGCAAACAGGAUUAGAUACCCUGGUAG
rnacentral:rRNA from 1 species